GGCAUGCCUACACAUGCAGUCGCACGGCAGCAGGUCCUUCGGGAUGCUGGCGAGUGGCGGACGGGUGAGUAAUGCGUAGGAACCUAUCCUUUUGUGGGGGACAACCCAGGGAAACUUGGGCUAAUACCGCAUAAGCCCUGAGGGGGAAAGCGGGGGAUCUUCGGACCUCGUGCUGAAGGAGGGGCCUACGUCCGAUUAGCUAGUUGGUGGGGUAAAGGCCUACCAAGGCGACGAUCGGUAGCUGGUCUGAGAGGACGACCAGCCACACUGGGACUGAGACACGGCCCAGACUCCUACGGGAGGCAGCAGUGGGGAAUUUUUCGCAAUGGGGGCAACCCUGACGAAGCAAUGCCGCGUGGAUGAAGAAGGCCUUCGGGUUGUAAAGUCCUUUCGUGGGGGACGAAAAGGCGGAUCCGAAUACGGUCUGCUAUUGACGUGAACCCAAGAAGAAGCACCGGCUAACUCCGUGCCAGCAGCCGCGGUAAU
rnacentral:rRNA from 1 species